rnacentral:rRNA from 1 species
AACGAACGCUGGCGGCGUGGAUAAGACAUGCAAGUCGAACGAUCACUAUUGGGUAGCAAUAUUUGGUAGUGGGAGUGGCGCAAGGGUGCGUAACACGUGGGUAAUUUGCCGUAAAGUCUGGGAUAACUCGCUGAAAGGCGAGCUAAUACCGGAUGUGAUUGCUGGGGGGCAUCCUCUGGCACUUAAAGUCGGGGACCGUAAGGCCUGACACUUUUCGAUAAGCCCGCGGCCUAUCAGCUAGUUGGUGAGGUAACGGCUCACCAAGGCUAAGACGGGUAGCUGGUCUGAGAGGACGACCAGCCACACUGGAACUGAGACACGGUCCAGACACCUACGGGUGGCAGCAGUCGAGAAUUUUUCUCAAUGGGGGAAACCCUGAAGGAGCGACGCCGCGUGGGGGAUGAAUGGCUUCGGCCCGUAAACCCCUGUCAUUUGCGAUCAAACCUUGCGAUCUAACAAAUCGUAAGCUGAUAGUAGCGAAAGAGGAAGGGACGGCUAACUCUGUGCCAGCAGCCGCGGU